CCCCAUGUCUCUCUUUCGUUCCCCUCCUCUCGUCCCUCUCCUCCUGCGCGUGCACCGCUGCCCUCAUCACCACGGGCUGCCUCCCCGCGUGCUCCCUGACUGCCCUGCGCCAUAGAACCGUGCCCGUCCGCUCCACGUGCUCGGCUGCUUCGCCCACGCCAAGGAACCCAAGCCGGAGCCCCAGCUGCCUCGCCGGAUUCGCGUCGUCCUCGACAUUACACCCGCCGGCGACCUCCGUCGAAUUCGUCAUCAUCGGGCCUUCCCCGAGCUCGCUAUGCACCUCUACAGGGCCCAUGUGAGCUUCCGCCUCCUUCCCCCUCUGUCCUUCUCUUAAUUCCACCGACGUAGGCGCUGCUGCUCGACUGGCCUGAGCUCGCUCCGCCCGGCGCCCUCUGGCCGCUUUUCCGCCUGCGCAGGGCCACGCUCCGGCUAGACUGGUUGCGUCUCGUACGCGCCCCGUUCGCGAAGUCCACGGGCCGCGGCCUCGCCUUGUGCGCGCAUCCUCCCGCAGCCACCUGCGUCGCGCCGAACGGCUCUCGUUGCGCCCUGCCUCUCCCUAGGUCGAGCCCGGCUGCACACCACGUCGACGUUGCCGUCUCUCGCUCGCCCCGCCCCGCUGGCCGCAGCGCCCGUCGCUGGGCGCCCGCGCCUCCUGUCGCUUGCGCCGCCCGCUUUGCCUCGUCGUCGCCCCGCGCACGGCCUCACCUCCCCGCUGUAGCCACUGCCGUCAAGCCUGCGGCCCACCUUCGCCCGUCCGCCCCCGUUGCUGCCCUCGCCGUCCGCCAUUGCCCCGCCUGCCGCUCGCGCCAUUGCUCAUCGCCGCCCCGCACUGCCGUUGUUGGCAGCUGUCGGCGCCCCGCCCCGGGCGGGCUACGGCCUCCACGGGCGCCCGCCCCGCUUCACCACCUGACAUCCAGCGCCCGACAACCCACCCCGGUCGGCCUGGGCCAUUAACCAGAGGGGGGCGCCCUUGUAAAUAAUAAUAAAAAAAGAUAAUAAAAAUGAAAAUAUUAUUUAUUAAAUAGGUUAUUAAUUAACUUAAUUAGCUUAAUUGAAUUAGCCUAAUUACCUAAGUUAGCUAAUUAAAACUAUUAGUUUAGUUAGGUCAAUGACAGAUGGGCCCCAUUGUCCUGUUUGACCUGUCAACAUUUAGUGUUGACCGCUGACAUCAUGAUGACGUCAUGCUGGUGCAAUAACUCUGUUUUAGAUUCAAUAUUAAUUUCAGAAAAUAUUUUAAAAUUUUGAAAAAUAAUGUAAAUUAAACCGUAACUUGGAUGAAAAAACUUUCUACAUGAAAGUUACUCAUAACGACGAGACGAAUCCGAACACACGGUCCUUUCGUCCGCCACACGUCCCUAGUAGCAAACGUUGAACUUUUCCCCUCCGGUUCAUCUGUUUUCCCCCUUCACCAGUAUCGCCUAACACUGUGUUAGAACACCUCUAGCCCCGCUUAUUGUCUUGUUAUGCAUAUGUUUGUGUGUAUUUACUGUUUCUUCCCCCUCUUCUCUCCGGUAGACCCCGAGACCGAUGCCGAUGUCCCUGUGAUCGACUACGUCGCCGACGACCCUUUUUCCCUUUCAGCGGAGCUUCCAGGCAAGCCCCCCCUUUGAUCAUCCCGAUAUCGCACAUUCCAUUCUCCCAUGCUUGCAUUAAUUUUGCAACUGUAAUUGAUUGCUCCUAUUCUGAUGCAUAGCCUGCUUUUGUAAACUGCUAUUGUACCUUACCAGUUUAUCCUAAACUGCUUAGUAUAGGUUGGUCAGUGAUCCAUCAGUGACCCCCACCUUGUCCUUGUCGCCCCUGCUUCAUCAUCGAUGACUCGAUCAACAUGAUAGACGACCAGAGCCCGACACUUCACUUCACAUCAUGCCCUUUUUGUUGCUCGACUCUACAGAGUUACCAUCGAGUGCCGAGGGUGGUACCUCAUACAUCACUCCUGAUGAAAUCUCUGUAGUGUAGCUAUUCGGUCGUGGUCAUCGAGGGUGAUUCCUCCUUAACCACUUCCGAUAUGACUUUGUCGUGCAACCCCUCAAGUGUGAACCUCGAGGGUGGUUCCUCUUACGUUCACCUUGAUGAUUACAUCGAGUGGAAUCCACCGAGGGUGAUUCCACGGGUUUUCCCCUUGAUGUGUGGACACACGGUUACCUUGACAUUACUUGAGACCAUUGAUGAAGUCGUGUCGGCCCUCAGGGGUACCCGCGAAUUGAUGUGAAAGUCAGGCGGGCCCGCAGAGCACCCACGAGUUUUCCAUGUGGCACGACCAUGGAGUCUGGGCCCUUGCCGUAAGUCCACGAGACGGGGCGACGGGGUCACAUUAUCGUGAGUCUCUGCUUGUCUCCGUGAGCCCCCAAUGCACUAACAAGUUUGGGUAUUUGUUCUGAGUUGGCCUCUGGCCUUUACGCACUAACCACCACGCGAGAAUAGUGAUGAGCCUCGAUGUCGUGGUAUCAGCCGAAGCUUUGUCAGAUGUUCAGUUCAGCAUUGCGGCACGGCUUGGUCGGCGCCCCAGUGGAGGUGGCCUGGAUCGCCCUGCGCGCAACGAUCCGGAGUGCAAGGGGCGAUGGGCCCAGACCCCGGAGUGCUUAGGAUGUAGACUGGUAGGGACCUCUCUGCUGAGCCUAGGUAGGGCUGCGACGUGUUGAUCUUCCGAGGCCGGGCAUUGACCCCAGAAAGGUGUGUCCGGCCAGAGUAAUCGAGCGUGUUGGGUAACGUGAUGCACCCCUGCAGGGAAGUUAUAUACUCGAAUACCGUGUCCACGGUAAUGGAUGUUCAGACUUAUAUCCUGAUCUUAUAUAACUAGAAAUGGAUACUUGAGUUAUGUGAUGGAUAUGUGGCUCUGAGAUUGCUUUCUCGCAGGGAGUCGAGGAAGGAUCUCUGGGCAUUGAUGCUACAACAUGCUUGUUAAAUAUUAAAAUGCUACUCUUUACUCUUCUACAUGCUGCAAGAUGCUUGGAGCUACUUGAAGAUGCUAGUCUUCGAUAGACUAGGCCUUCCACCCUCUAUUUUGGCAUUCUGUAGUUCAGUCCACAGAUACAAACCUUCCAUUUGAUAUCAAUGCACACUUAGUAUAGAUCUGAUGCUUGCGAGUACUUUGGGUGGGUACUCAUGAUUGCUUUGCUACCCCCUUUUCCCCCUUCUUUCUUCUUUCCGGUUGUUGCAACCAGAUGGUGGAUCCCUGGAGCAAGAUGCCAUCGCCGAUGGAUGCUAGUACGUGAAGAUCGCCGACGACCAGGAGUAGUUAGGAGGUCCCUGGCAGGAGGCCUUGCCUCUUCGAUCGUUUUUGCUUUUGUGCUAACCUUCUUAAGGCAUCCUUGUUUAACUUAUGUCUGUACUCAGAUAUUGUUGCUUCCGCUGACUCUUGUGUAUCGAGCUAUGUAUUCAAGCCCUCGAGGCCCCUGGCUUGUAAUAUAAAGCUUGUAUUAUUUUAUUUGUGUCUAGAGUUGUGUUGUGAUAUCUUCCCGUGAG
rnacentral:lncRNA from 1 species